rnacentral:misc_RNA from 1 species
GAAAGAGGGGAUGGAGGGCCUGGAAUAAGUCGUGAGGAGAGAGAUUUGAGGUGCAUAAAUGUUGGAAACAGGAGUAUCAGAGGUAGGCAGUUGGUUAGGUAGGCGUCCACUGAUGUUUUGGCCUUCCUGGUGUGUCAAUACUGGAUGAUAGAGUUGGGAACACAAAGGAAAAGAAUAGGUUCAAUAAGAGAGAAAGAGAGUGUAGAUUUCACUGCAAAAUAAGAUCUGAAUUACAAUGCAUACUCUCAGCAAUACAAUAGCAAAUUCCUUCCUCUCAAGACAGAACAUAAAGAGAAAAUAAAGAAAUGAGAAUCUCAGAGUAGCUCAAGCUAGCCCAGCUAAUG